rnacentral:tRNA from 2 species
AGUAAAGUCAGCUAAAUAAGCUCUUGGGCCCAUACCCCAAUUAUGUUGGUUAAAAUCCUUCCUUUACUA